rnacentral:rRNA from 1 species
UACGUAGGGUGCAAGCGUUUGUCCGGAAUUAUUGGGCGUAAAGAGCUCGUAGGCGGUUUGUCGCGUCUGUUGUGAAAACGCGAGGCUCAACCUCGCGCCUGCAGUGGGGUACGGGCAGACUAGAGUGUGGUAGGGGGAGAUUGGAAUUCCUGGUGUAGCGGUGGAAUGCGCAGAUAUCAGGAGGAACACCGAUGGCGAAGGCAGAUCUCUGGGCCAUUACUGACGCUGAGGAGCGAAAGCGUGGGGGAGCAAACAGG